rnacentral:rRNA from 1 species
UACAGAGGUCCCAAGCGUUGUUCGGAUUCACUGGGCGUAAAGGGUGCGUAGGUGGUGAGGUAAGUCUGAUGUGAAAUCUCCGAGCUCAACUCGGAAAUGGCAUCGGAAACUACACCGCUAGAGGUUUGGAGGGGGGACUGGAAUUCUCGGUGUAGCAGUGAAAUGCGUAGAUAUCGAGAGGAACACCAGUGGCGAAGGCGAGUCCCUGGACAACACCUGACACUGAGGCACGAAAGCUAGGGGAGCAAACAGG